GAUCAUGGCUCAGGAUGAACGCUGGCUACAGGCUUAACACAUGCAAGUCGAGGGGCAGCAUGGUCUUAGCUUGCUAAGGCUGAUGGCGACCGGCGCACGGGUGAGUAACACGUAUCCAACCUGCCGUCUACUCUUGGCCAGCCUUCUUAAAGGAAGAUUGAUCCAGGAUGGGAUCAUGAGUUCACAUGUCCGCAUGAUUAAAGGUAUUUUCCGGUAGACGAUGGGG
rnacentral:rRNA from 1 species